rnacentral:rRNA from 1 species
ACUCCUACGGGAGGCAGCAGUGGGGAAUAUUGCACAAUGGGCGCAAGCCUGAUGCAGCCAUGCCGCGUGUGUGAAGAAGGCCUUCGGGUUGAUAAAGCACUUUCAGUCGUGAGGAAGGUAGUGUAGUUAAUAGCUUGCUAUAUUUUGACGUUAGCGACAGAAGAAGCACCGGCUAACUCCGUGCCAGCAGCCGCGGUAAUACGGAGGGUGCGAGCGUUAAUCGGAAUUACUGGGCGUAAAGCGCAUGCAGGUGGUUUGUUAAGUCAGAUGUG